rnacentral:tRNA from 3 species
GCCGUCGGUCGACCGCGGUGACGGGGUCUACCUCGCCGGUGACCAGGUCGCCGCGCCGGGGCUGCUGUCGGAGGUGUCGUUCAACAGCGCGCUGACGGCG